CUUGCGGCUGAUUAGCUUGUUGGUGAGGUAAUGGCUCACCAAGGCGACGAUCAGUAUCUGGUUUGAGAGGACGAUCAGACACACUGGAACUGAGACACGGUCCAGACUCCUACGGGAGGCAGCAGUAGGGAAUUUUCCGCAAUGGGCGAAAGCCUGACGGAGCAAUCUCGCGUGAGGGAUGACGGCCUAUGGGUUGUAAACCUCUUUUUUCAGGGAGGAAUAACUGACGUGUACCUGAAGAAUAAGCAUCGGCUAACUCCGUGCCAGCAGCCGCGGUAAGACGGAGGAUGCAAGUGUUAUCCGGAAUCACUGGGCGUAAAGCGUCUGUAGGUGGUUUAAUAAGUCAACUGUUAAAUCUUAAAGCUUAACUUUGAAAUCGCAGUCGAAACUAUUAGACUAGAGUAUAGUAGGGGUAAAGGGAAUUUCCAGUGGAGCGGUGAAAUGCGUAGAGAUUGGAAAGAACACCGAUGGCGAAGGCACUUUACUGGGCUAUUACUAACACUCAGAGACGAAAGCUAGGGUAGCAAAUGGGAUUAGAUACCCCAGUAGUCCUAGCCGUAAACAAUGGAUACUAGAUGUUGAACAGAUCGACCUGUGCAGUAUCAAAGCUAACGCGUUAAGUAUCCCGCCUGGGAAGUAUGCUCGCAAGAGUGAAACUCAAAGGAAUUGACGAGGGCGCUUCAUGCUUAGUCCCGUUCAUUUUCGGCGCAGAGUUGCUCGACUAGUAAGCUAUUACGCACUUUUUAAAUGAUGGCUGCUUCUAAGCCAACAUCCUAGCUGUCUAUGCAACCCCACUUCCUUACAUACACUGAGCAUGAAUUAGGGGCCUUAACUGCCAAUCUGGGCUGUUUCCCUCUCGACCACGAAGCUUAUCCCUCGUAGUCUGACUCCCAGGCUAUCAACAACGGUAUUCGGAGUUUGUCUGGGUAGGGUAGGUUAUGCACCCCCCUAGCCUGAACAGUAGCUCUACCCCCGUUGCGAAACACCUGAGGCUAGCCCUAAAGCUAUUUCGGGGAGAACCAGCUAUCUUCAGGUUUGAUUGAUCUUUUACCCCUAACCACAGGUCAUCGGAAAAUUUUUCAACAUUUAC
rnacentral:rRNA from 1 species